CCUAAUACAUGCAAGUCGAGCGCAGGAAAUCGACGGAACCCUUCGGGGGGAAGUCGACGGAAUGAGCGGCGGACGGGUGAGUAACACGUAAAGAACCUGCCCUCAGGUCUGGGAUAACCACGAGAAAUCGGGGCUAAUACCGGAUGGGUCAUCGGACCGCAUGGUCCGAGGAUGAAAGGCGCUUCGGCGUCGCCUGGGGAUGGCUUUGCGGUGCAUUAGCUAGUUGGUGGGGUAAUGGCCCACCAAGGCGACGAUGCAUAGCCGACCUGAGAGGGUGAUCGGCCACACUGGGACUGAGACACGGCCCAGACUCCUACGGGAGGCAGCAGUAGGGAAUCUUCCACAAUGGACGAAAGUCUGAUGGAGCAACGCCGCGUGAACGAUGAAGGCCUUCGGGUCGUAAAGUUCUGUUGUAAGGGAAGAACAAGUGCCGCAGGCAAUGGCGGCACCUUGACGGUACCUUGCGAGAAAGCCACGGCUAACUACGUGCCAGCAGCCGCGGUAAUACGUAGGUGGCAAGCGUUGUCCGGAAUUAUUGGGCGUAAAGCGCGCGCAGGCGGCCUCUUAAGUCUGAUGUGAAAGCCCCCCGCUCAACCGGGGAGGGCCAUUGGAAACUGGGAGGCUUGAGUAUAGGAGAGAAAGUGGAAUUNCACGUGUAGCGGUGAAAUGCGUAGAGAUGUGGANGAACACCAGUGGCGAAGGCANUCUUUGGCUAUACUGACGCUGAGCGCGAAAC
rnacentral:rRNA from 1 species